rnacentral:rRNA from 1 species
GAUGAACGCUGGCGGCGUGCCUAAUACAUGCAAGUCGAGCGAACGGACGAGAAGCUUGCUUCUCUGAUGUUAGCGGCGGACGGGUGAGUAACACGUGGAUAACCUACCUCUAUUACUGGGAUAACUUCGGGAAACCGGAGAUAAUACCAGAUAAUAUUUUGAACCGCAUGGUUCAAAAGAGAAAGACGGUCUUGCUGUUACUUAUAGCUGGAUCCGCGCUGCAUUAGCUAGUUGGUAAGGUAACGGCUUACCAAGGCGACGAUGCAUAGCCGACCUGAGAGGAUGAUCGGCCACACUGGAACUGAGACACGGUCCAGACUCCUACGGGAGGCAGCAGUAGGGAAUCUUCGGCAAUGGGCGAAAGCCUGACGGAGCAACGCCGCGUGAGUGAUGAAGGCCUUCGGAUCGUAAAACUCUGUUAUUAGGGAAGAACAGAUGUGUAAGUAACUGUGCACAUCUUGACGGUACCUAAUCAGAAAGCCACGGCUAACUACGUG